UUCACACCAUAAAACACCGAGGCCUAGAACCAUGUUGCUUGUGAUACCGGCGAGGAGUUUUCAAUACAAAUUCUCAAACGCUGGGGCUACAACGAAGGCUGCGAAACCAAGGACAAAGAACGAAAUCAUUCAUAAUGAUCGAGGAAGUGACUAAUGCGCUACAUCCGCAACCAAGACUGGAAAAUGAACUUAAGGACAAGUUCGCAUGAGGUGAGGUCCAAAUUGUGGAAACAAGCUGGUAAUCAUUGACGACAUCCUUGUGGAGUUGCAGCCUCUGCUUCAAGUAGAUGGUUCGGGUGUUUUGUUUAGGAGAGUUUAGUUUUCUUGUGUCCUCUUUUUUUUAUUUUUGCCUUUUUUGCUA